rnacentral:rRNA from 1 species
UACGUAGGGACCGAGCGUUGUCCGGAUUUAUUGGGCGUAAAGAGCUCGUAGGCGGUUCGAUAAGUCGGACGUGAAAUCUCCACGCUCAACGUGGAGGGGCCGUUCGAUACUGUCGUGACUCGAGUCCGGUAGGGGAGUGUGGAAUUCCCGGUGUAGCGGUGAAAUGCGCAGAGAUCGGGAGGAACACCCGUAGCGAAGGCGGCACUCUGGGCCGGUACUGACGCUGAGGAGCGAAAGCGUGGGGAGCAAACAGG